UACAGAGGUCUCAAGCGUUGUUCGGAUUCAUUGGGCUUAAAGCGUGUGUAGGCGGAUCGGUAAGUACCUUGUGAAAUCCCACAGCUUAACUGUGGAACUGCUUGGUAUACUGCCAGUCUUGAGCCAGCUAGGGGCUACCGGAACAAAUGGUGGAGCGGUGAAAUGCGUAGAUAUCAUUUGGAACGCCAAUGGUGAAAACAGGUAGCUGGGGCUGUGCUGACGCUGAGACACGAAAGCCAGGGGAGCAAACGGG
rnacentral:rRNA from 1 species